rnacentral:rRNA from 1 species
UACGAAGGGGGCUAGCGUUGUUCGGAAUCACUGGGCGUAAAGGGUGCGUAGGCGGCCCGUUAAGUCAGUGGUGAAAUCCCAGGGCUCAACCCUGGAACUGCCAUUGAUACUGACGGGCUUGAGUUCGGUUAAGGCGGGCGGAACUGGUGGUGUAGCGGUGAAAUGCAUAGAUACCACCAAGAACCCCGAUUGCGUAGGCAGCUCGCUGAGCCGAAACUGACGCUGAGGCACGAAAGCGUGGGGAGCGAACAGG